rnacentral:rRNA from 1 species
ACUACGGGAGGCAGCAGUGAGGAAUAUUGGUCAAUGGGCGCAAGCCUGACCCAGCAACGCCGCGUGAAGGAAGAAGGCUUUCGGGUUGUAAACUUCUUUUGUCAGGGACGAAGCAAGUGACGGUACCUGACGAAUAAGCCACGGCUAACUACGUGCCAGCAGCCGCGGUAAUACGUAGGUGGCAAGCUUUAUCCGGAUUUACUGGGUGUAAAGGGCGUGUAGGCGGGUAAGCAAGUCAGAUGUGAAAACCACGGGCUCAACCUGUAGCCUGCAUUUGAAACUGUUUUUCUUGAGUGCUGGAGAGGCAAUCGGAAUUCCGUGUGUAGCGGUGAAAUGCGUAGAUAUACGGAGGAACACCAGUGGCGAAGGCGGAUUGCUGGACAGUAACUGACGCUGAGGCGCGAAAGCGUGGGGAGCAAACAGGAUUAGAUACCCUUGUAGUC